GACAGAGGGUGCAAGCGUUGUUCGGAAUCACUGGGCGUAAAGGGCGUGUAGGCGGCAAGGUAUGUCUGACGUGAAAACCCUCGGCUUAACCGGGGAAUGGCGUCGGAAACUACCUUGCUCGAGUGCGAGAGAGGGUGGCGGAAUUUCCAGUGUAGAGGUGAAAUUCGUAGAUACUGGGAGGAACACCAGAGGCGAAGGCGGCCACCUGGCUCGUUACUGACGCUGAGACGCGAAAGCGUGGGUAGCAAACAGG
rnacentral:rRNA from 1 species